rnacentral:lncRNA from 1 species
CACCUAGUGAAACUCAAAUUACUAUUUAAGGAAAUGACCAAUUUGCAUAGCCACCUGGAUUUUUACUGUCAACGACUUUGACUGGGAUUCAAAUGCUUGAACAGCAGGUUUAUUUCAUUCACUGAAGAUCCAGCUGGUGUAGCAGUUUGGGACGUGCACUAAAAGAUGCUUGGAAAUACCUGCUGGUCUUUCGGCUAUUGUGCUAUAAAACCAGGCUUUUCUGGAUGAAAUCCUGCAGCCCUAAAACAGGCAAAACUUGACUUAACUUCAAGGAAAGUUUUGGAUUUCAAUGGACCUUUGAAGUCUCUUCAAAAGAGAUAAGGACUUCAAUGGGAGGUUUGCCUAUACAGAGGACCACAGAGGCGGGCCAUUUGUAGCAAUUCAGUUCAUCUAGGAGCAGAAGUUGUCUGGUGAAAAUUGGUUCAGUGAGGAGGGCUAAGUGACGCAUAGCUCACUGAAGAAGAGAGUUCAUCAAACAGCUGCAAUACAUUUAUAUAUAUAGUUGACAUUCCAUAAGAAGAAUUUUCUUUCUGGAAAAUGUGGUUCCUGAAUAUCCUGGAAUUUCUGGAGUCCUUUCAACUUAGAAGACAG